rnacentral:lncRNA from 1 species
AGAGGUGGAUUUAAACAUGGAAAAGACUGGUUAUAUGAAUUAGGAUCUGUUAGUAUCACAAUUGACUAUACUCGAGCUAUCUGAAAUCAAUUAUCAAACUACAAAACACCAAGGCUUACUACUUCCAUCUUAAUUCAACACAUAAUCCAUUCUACGACUAUCAAUUCAACAAUACUUCUCUCAAUCACAAUUCUUCAUAAGCAAAUAAUAAAAGCAAAGAAAACAAAGAGGUAGCACCAAGCUUACCUCAGCUUACGACUCUCACAGUCUG